UAUCUUUGCCCCCUGAUUGAAAAUCAAUCAUGUACAUAAAAAUCAUUAAAAUAAUAUUGGAAUG
rnacentral:ncRNA from 1 species